GAUGAACGCUGGCGGCGUGCCUAAUACAUGCAAGUCGAGCGAACGGACGAGAAGCUUGCUUCUCUGAUGUUAGCGGCGGACGGGUGAGUAACACGUGGAUAACCUACCUAUAAGACUGGGAUAACUUCGGGAAACCGGAGCUAAUACCGGAUGAUAUUUUGAACCGCAUGGUUCAAAAGUGAAAGACGGUCUUGCUGUCACUUAUAGAUGGAUCCGCGCUGCAUUAGCUAGUUGGUAAGGUAACGGCUUACCAGGGCAACGAUGCAUAGCCGACCUGAGAGGGUGAUCGGCCACACUGGAACUGAGACACGGUCCAGACUCCUACGGGAGGCAGCAGUAGGGAAUCUUCCGCAAUGGGCGAAAGCCUGACGGAGCAACGCCGAGUGAGUGAUGAAGGUCUUCGGAUCGUAAAACUCUGUUAUUAGGGAAGAACAUAUGUGUAAGUAACUGUGCACAUCUUGACGGUACCUAAUCAGAAAGCCACGGCUAACUACGUG
rnacentral:rRNA from 1 species